rnacentral:rRNA from 1 species
GACGAACGCUGGCGGCGUGCCUAAUACAUGCAAGUCGAACGCAGUGGGGACGGUUGAGUAACACGUGGGUAACCUCCCAUCAGAGGGGAUAACCCUUGGAAACAGGUGCUAAACCGCUACUGGUAGAUGAACUCGCGGUGCAUUAGCUAGGUGGUGGGGUAACGGCUCACCAAGGCCACGAUGCAUAGCCGGCCUGAGAGGGUGAUCGGCCACACUGGGACUGAGACACGGCCCAGACUCCUACGGGAGGCAGCAGUAGGGAAUCUUGGGCAAUGGACGAAAGUCUGACCGAGCAAUGCCGCGUGAGUGAAGAAGGUUUUCGGAUCGUAAAACUCUGUUGUUAGAGAAGCGGUAUCUAACCAGAAAGCCACGGCUAACUACGUGCCAGCCGCCGCGGUAAUAC